rnacentral:lncRNA from 1 species
GUCCUUAUAAGAGGGAGUUGUGGACACAGACACAGAGAAGGAAGAUGAUGUGAAGACACAGGGAGAAGACGGCCAGGUGGAGACGGAGGCAGAGAUUGGGGUGAUGCAGCACAGCUGAGGCCGCCUGGGGCUAUCAGGAAGGCUCCUCCCCUACGGGUCUGGAGGGAGUGCUGCUCGGCUGACACCUUGAUUUUGGCCUCCAGGCUUCUGGAACUGUGAGAGACAUUUCUGUGGUUUUCAGCCAUCCAUCUAAGGGUUCAGCACUUUGUGACAGCAGCCUCUGGACACAGGCCUCGCAGCAGAAACCUACAUGGAAGGCAGUUCUGGAGGUGUGGCUCAGCCAGGCCCCGAGGGAGAUCAGAGCCAACCCAGCCUGAGAUGAAUGAUGAAUGUCUCCUUCUCACAGAGUUUUGCCGAGCCCCUCCCAUGCCAGUCCUCUGCCCGGCUCCUUCCUGGUGCUGACCACAGUGGUGAUUGCGCUGGGGCUCCCUCAGCAGCCCCAGGACAUGGGGGUUAAACAAGAGCACAGGAGCAACGCUCUUGGGCCAGUUCCUGGAAGGAGCAUAGCACAUUGCCUGGCACAGAGCAAACACGGAGGACAGUCAUUUGGGGCUGCCUUCAGGCUGCAUCACAAAAUGCCUCUUUCAGCAAAGACUCCAUCUGGCAAGCGCUCUGCAGUCUCCACCACCCUCUGUAGUUCUGCCAGCUUAUUACUGUUUUGUUUUUAAAAUACAGGUGACAUGUAUCAAGUACUCACUGUUAUUUCUCCCUUAAUUCUCGCCACAGCCCCAUGAGGUAGGCGUUGCCAUGAGCCCUGUUUUCCAGAUGAGGAAAAUUGAGGCUUAGAAAGAGUUAAGUGACCCGUCCUCGAUCACAUGGCCAGUAAGUGACGUGUGCCCAAUUUGAACCCUAAUCUGUCUGAAUCUUUGCCUUUGGUAUUUACAAAUGUGUCUUGCCAGCUGGGAGAGGCAGGAAAUGGGCGAGUGUUUCUUCAGGAAUCAUGACCCA